GGAAUUUUCGGCAAUGGGCGCAAGCCUGACCGAGCAACGCCGCGUGAAGGAUGAAGGUCUUCGGAUCGUAAACAUCUGUUGUAAAGGAAGAAUGUUAUAUUGAGGAAAUGCUAUAUAAGUGACGGUACUUUACUAGAAUGUCACGGCUUACUACGUGCCAGCAGCCGCGGUAAUACGUAGGUGGCAAGCGUUAUCCGGAUUUAUUGGGCGUAAAGGGUGCGCAGGCGGAUUGUUAAGUUUGAGGUGAAAGCGUUGGGCUCAACCCAAUACAGCCUUGAAUACUGGCAGUCUAGAGUGCAGAAGAGGGUAAUGGAACUCCAUGUGUAGCGGUAAAAUGCGUAGAUAUAUGGAAGAACACCAGCGGCGAAGGCGGUUACCUGGUCUGCUACUGACGCUCAGGCACGAAAGCGUGGGGAGCAAAUA
rnacentral:rRNA from 1 species